rnacentral:lncRNA from 1 species
UUGAUGGUCUUCUACUGACGCUCUCUUAACUUUGGUGAAUUUUUUGGUCGUUGGUUUCGAUCGCAUCCGGAAAUCUGGUGGUCCUCUCAAGAUCAAAAUCUUCUAAAUCGGUGUUUGUGGACAACAUAUAAUCUUUCGCAACAGAAUUGGCUUGGCCCUCGUCUUGUGUUCUUUGCAUUACUUCUAAAGAAUGGUUUUUUUUUUUAGUAUAUGAUGGCAAUUACAUCAUUUUAAUGUGAGUACAAUUUAAAAGAUCAGAAAAUAAAAUAUCCUGCACAAUUCAUAGGUAGACAUCACUUUGUCUGCUAGCUUCAAUCUCUAAUGUGCUUGAUAAUAAAUGAUGCAAUUC